GUACUAAAUCCGACUCGAUUAAACGACGGCUUCAUAAAAAAACGAUCGAUUUAACAUUGAUAAAAAUUAAAACUUAGAUAAAACUAAAACUUUGUUGUGUUUCAAUUUUUGAUUUUGUAGUGUCAAGUGGUCUGAAAAGUUGGAGAUAGUGUUGACAGUGAUCUAUGUGUUUCAGUACUUGUAUCCCUUUGAUGCCAGUUGUCCUUGCAAAGAUAACAUCAAGUCAAUUAUAUGGAAUGGUUCAUUGUAUGAUUCGAAAAAACCACAACGUAAGAUGAAUGACCAAACCAACACCGUAUUCCUAGACCACGAAUUACCAGGUCCACCGACAGUAUUACCCAGUACUCAUCUUCGAAACAGUAUCCGAGUUCCAAACCAAGGAACGUUUUACUUUAAAUACGAAGAUAGUGAUUCCAGUAUGGAACGAAACGAAAGAGAUACAUCUCAAGAUGGAAACGGAAACAGCCAACCAUGCAUUAAACCUGAAGAAGAGUUUCUAGUUGACAAUAGGAAUGGAGUCAACAGCAGCGAUCUCAGCCAGGAUAUUUCUAACCAAAGCAAAAUAGUACAAAACAGCGAUUUAGUUCCAAAUACUGAUCCAGUAUAUAACAACAGCGGGGUACGUGAGACUGCAAUUCUUUCUACUACUUCUAAUAUUCCUAGAAUAACGGUAACCAGGAGAAAUACAUCAGCGUCCCAAGCGGAAACGGGACUAAACGAAAACGAUCCCAAUGACGAAACUUCUAACCAAAGCCAAUUAGCCCAAAACACUGAUUCCAGCCUAGAAAAUGGAGCAGUACACGAUAACACUCUAGUUUAUGAAAAUUCACUUCUUUCAAUUUCUAAAAUGUCUAGAAAGCCCAAAGUUAUCAGGAGAAACACUUUGCCAUCUCAAGCAGGAAAAAGUCUUCCUAGACCAAAAUCUGUACCAGAAGAUACCAUACGAUUACUUGUACAAAAGGCAGAAGAACUGAUAAGUCCAGAUUUCCGUUUUAAAAGGAGCGAUAAAUGGUCCAAAUCCGUUGAAACAGAUAACAGCUGUGAUGCUAGUUGUGAAGAAGAUGAAAAAGAGUCUCAUCAUUCCGAUGACUUUGAUUCUAGUACCGCUACUUUAAAAGCAGCAGCCAAUUCCUUUUAUGAUCUAGCGGAUAAUGACAAUAAGCAAUGGUUAGGACAUUCACGAGUUACUGUGGCUACGAACAAUGUUAUGAAUAAUUUUUCGAUAUCAGAAUCUGCGCUUCAUAAACUGGAUCUUUCUCAGAAAGAACUGCCUUCGUCAUCAGUUAGUACUAAUAAUGUUAACACCAACUCUAAUAAUUCUACAUCCUCUACAGUUGAAGAAGCUUUGCCCCAGUUACCCAUAAAAGAGACCUCAAGCAAAAAAAGAAAACUUAGGAGAAGACGAUUGUUUGGAAAAUCCGAUACACACUUAGAGACUUUUAGAACGAGUAUAACACAUCUAAUAAAAUCCGUAUCGUGUCCUGGAAAUAGUACAUCAAAAGCAUCAAGUUCAAGCAGCCGUGAGAGUGAUCAUUACUUAGAAGAUACCACCGAGAAACUAAAUAAAGUAGAAAGUAGUGCCGAAGAUACCGAUGAAGAUAACGUAAAAAGACCUAUAUUUAAGUAUGGAGGAAUGACUCGUUAUUUAGAUAGCGAAUGCGUAGCAAAUCGAUUUUGUUUGUCACCUGGAGAACACUCUGGAUCCAUGUCCGAACAAGCGUGGGAUAAUUACCAGGAGAACUAUUUGUCCGAACCGUACAGUGAAUCUCAGGAUUCAGAUGCUGCUCGAAGAUUAUUAAACUUUGGGGAAGACUAUGGCAAGUUUUUGGACAGCCAAUCUGAUUGGUCUACACCCUCAGAUAUUUCUCCAAAGAUGAGUCGCAAAUUUGGCCAACCGGUGGAUGAAGAUGAGGAUGAGGAUCAAUCAAAUAAUGAGCAAGAAGCUUUAGCGAAAUUGUUUGAAAAAUCCAAAACUGAUCUAGAAAUUAACCAACGGAAAUAUGCGAAUUCACUGGAAUAUUUAUAUCGGUACAUCACCCCAGAUGUGCUAGGUUCUUUAUUGAAUAGCCAGUCUGAUUUGUCUCAAACCUCAGAUAUAUCUUACAGAAGAAGGCAGAAAUUUUGCCAGCCUACGCAUGAAGACGAAUUGGAAAGUGCUCAAGAAUCUUUGACAAAAAAAUUCAAUACUGAACCCACCCAUGAAAUCAACCAAUUAAACUAUGAGGAUUUAUUACAAUUUUACCAAUGCAUUACUCUAAAUAUCAAUGACAUAAUUAAUGCCUGUGACGAACAUCUUUCGAUGCUAAAUCAAAUGAGAGAUUCUCCGGAGGAGCUUAAAAUGUCUAGGCAAGACCUAUCUCAAACUAUGGGGCUAUGCAAAAACUGGUGGGCGUUGAAGAAGAAAACGGUGGUCGUUUCCCAAUACAUAUCUCUGUGUGAAGAAAUGCACACGUUAUAUGCAAUCUUCAAAAGCACAAAUUUUGACCAAAUAAAAAAUGCUUCCACUCGUUAUGAUCAUCAUACCCAACUGGAACAACAUAUUAGAUUAUGCCAGAGUUCAAUGAAUCUUCUACAAGCACAUCAUGAGGAUUUGAUGAAAUUGAAUAAAAGUGUAGACCAAUUCAUUUUGCAAAAUGAACAUCCAAAUGAGGUGAACAAAUCCACCCUUAAAGGAUAUGUGGAUAAUUUAUAUGAGCUAUUCCACAACAUUUACAAAAAUAUGAAUCAAAAGUAUGAAGAAUUGCAGCUUUCGCUACCCAUUUGGAAAAAAAUGGAUGAUGCUGUGGAAUUGUUUGAGUUGGACCUAAAUAUGGAUGACCAUAAAAUUAACGCUAUCAGUAGAUCUUUAAAAGAUGGAAAGGUGGUAGACCAAGCUGUUACUAUAAGAGAACUAGCCAAUUUACUUCCAAAAAUAAAAAAGUCGAAUCCUCGUGAUCACGACGGUCAAGAAGGCUAUGUGUCGGACAGUGGGAUUUCAGACGAAGGGUCUGAAAAUGACACAAGGGACAGGGAAAGAAAACUGGCAAUGAUUCGGCAGUUAUUUAAAGAGUUCAAUGCAGAACCAACAAUCAAUAACCAGGCAAAAGACAUACUCCGUAAACGAAUUCAAAAAAUUGAAGACAAACUGCGGAAUCUACAGAGCCGAUUCCAAGAUAUGUUAGAACAUGACCUAAAUGGAUCUCUAAUCACUGAGAAAUUAAGUACCGUCUAUGAGAAGGAAGGUGAAGAACUCGCUCCUGGGGAUCCAGAUCACGACCCGGGUUCAAAUAAUCACAGAUUGUUUUGGAGAUUGUUCAGGACAUCUUUUUCAUUUACUUUAAUUAUAUUGGCUGCUGUAUGUAUCAGCGCAAUAAUUGCGCCGAAGUGCUGUGAAAACAAAAAUAACUACAACUGGUCUCCAGUUCCCCAGUUACAUUUUCAAGAUCGACCUGCAAUAUAGAGUACCUAAUUUUUCGUUUGUAUUGACUGUAUUAUUUAGACAUAGAGUAGGUUAAGUUCGAUUUCUUUGUACGUUACUUAACUUAAGCAUAUUUUUAUAUUUUUUAUUUCUUUACGUAUACCGCAAUUGCUUAGUUUAAGAGGACCUUUGAUUUGUUUUGAAUUUUUGAUAGUUUUUGUGUUAAAGAUACUUUUUAAGGUUUUAUUAAGACUAUUUUAUAUUUGUCUUUUGUUUGUCAAUGACACAUAUAUUUGGGAAUCCAUUUAAGCAAUUAGAAAUGAGUAAAACAUUAUUACUGAAUUGUGCCCAACUUAAGCAUCACAAAAUCUACUUUCCCUGUAGAAUAAAUGAAAUCUUCUUAAAAACAAGAUCGUACAUGUCCUUCUUUUUGUACAAACAAGAUAGUACAUUUCCCUUGGAAGAUAGGUCUGAUAUUGAGUGUCCAGGUAUAAUGUAUUAAAGUUUUAUUAUUAGCCCGUCUUGUUCAGAGUAUUCAAGGCCAUUCAAGGGUCAUUCGUAAAAAAGGUCAUUCGAAGAAAUCUGCCAACACUGCCUUCCACAUCAAUUCUCCCUCCCUCUCUUACCCCCAGUUUCGCCUCGCUGCAUUGGUCAGUGUCAGGCUAAUAGCCUUCGAAGAUGGAGGUCCCGGUCGCUGUUACCGCGACCGUUAAAUUCAUGCUGUGAUUCGUUUUUUAACUGCAAAAUGGAUUUCACCUAUUGACAUUCACCGUGAGUGAAUCGAAGUUUAUGGAUAAAAGUGCAUAUCUGUUUAAUAUGUUCGCAAAUGGUGUAAAGAAUUCAGUAAAGAUCGGAGCGGAAGGCUUUCAGAUUCAUCGUGAGUUUCCGUUCUGACUUCACUGAAUUCUCUACAGCAUAUGCGAACAUGUUGAAUAUAUCGUGGACGUACUGGAAAAAUCCACUAACUCAAAAGUAAAGUUUUGAGAAAAACGCAUUUAAACAUGAUUAUAUCUUACGGUUUGUAGCACCAGCGUGGACAACAAAGGCGAAAAAAAUAAUAUGUAACUCGACAAAUUUAACAAACAUAAAAAUAUACUUGGUGCUACGUAACUUUACGGAGUGCCUCGGUAGCUCUAAGUCUUCAGGGAUCUAGGGGUGUGGAUUCUUAAUAGAUUUUAAAUAUAAUAUAAACUCGAAUGCUCGGAGGGAGCCAUUGGAUAAAAAGAAAAUGAAAGACGAAACAUACUUAAAACUUCAAAAAAAUAACUAAAGUAAAAAGUUAAUAAAAAUAUAUAGUUAUCAUAAGAUACAAACACAUUUACAUAAAUAUAAAUAUCAUGACCUACCUUAGUGUUACUAUGUUGAUUUCUCACUUAUGAACAAGAGAAAAGGGAUCAGACAAUAAUGUUAUCAAUAAAAAAAUUAUUAUAAAAUGAAUCAACUUUUUAUUAAAAUUAAAAUAAAAAAAAUUAAAUGAUGAAUCUCUUGUAGACAAUAUAAGAGAUUCUGUUUACAAAAACAAUAAAAAGGUUUACAAACAACACCUUGUCAUAUAGUCCUGUCCUUAUUCUUCACGUUGAGAAUGUCCAAAGCACGUACUUUUCACUGAAUUUAGAUAAAGAGUACAAAAAAGGUUGUUUCUAUGAAAAAUUUCAGCGAAACUAAAUAAACUUCCAAAUAAUUCUGCUCAUAUUGACUUUUAAAUAACUUUUGAGGUACUUAGGAUUAUCUUUAGCACUUAAUCCAUAACUGCUUACAAAAAUAAACUUAGGUAGUGUAGUAUACACUAAAAUAAACUGGCUCUUUGCCUAACAGCGGCAUUUGGCUUGUGACUAGGAAGUCAUGAAAGGAGAACAGUUUCUAACACUACAUAGGUACUGCUUCUAAUACUCUACAUUUUCAGGAAUUAAAAAAAAUCUUGAUUAAGAACUACGUCAGAACUUAAUUUUCGAACUUAACUUUCUCAGAAAACCACCAAAGCGGCUUCUGCCGAGGCUACAACAAACCUCUCUCUCUCCCAAAACUUGAAAUCCCAAAGCCCAAACUUGAAUCUUUAAUCUCACAACUUGAAUGAAUCCUCCUCAAACCAAAACGCUUCCUUCCAAAAACCCACUCAAUUUCUCUCAUUCUACCCUACUGAUCCAAUCAACCAAUAAGAAAAAAGUUCAAUCCUUCCCUCUUUCAUCAUUGACUAAUAAAAUAAAUAAGUAAGCUUCCUACAUUUAUCAACCAAUAAGGAAAAACAAAACAUAUUCUAAGCUCAAGCUACUUAGUAGGGAACCAUCAGAAAUCAGUUCGCAAAGUCAGCAAACCUCUCCCAGUUCCACAGUUCUCAAGAAAAAUAUUGCUGAGUCCACAAUCCUACACUUGCGCUCUCUGAUACUGAUAUUAGCACGUAUGUGUAUCUAAACUCCAAAAUUCGUGGCGCCAAAGACCAUUAACUACUAUGUAACUCUUUUUUACAUUAAAAACUGAACGGGCGAGAAACUAAACACAGGAAAUCGAAUGUAGAUAUGACUACAAAAUAAUAUAACGUCUUUUUUAACAAAACUGAUAAACUACAAUUCCAUAUACCUCACGUACUUUUCGGAACAGAAAUAAAUUCCUUGAAUUUACUUGGCAUAUAAAGCAAUAUUCUUAUGUCUACAGUGUGGAACAAAAAUGUGUUACAAUACAUUUACAAUUUUUGGUUUCUGGGUGAGGCUAAAUAAUUGAGUUCUUUUGAAUCGUUUCAGUCUUACCUCUUAAAAAUCUGGUACACUGGCUGUUCAAGUUUUGGUACCUGAUACAUGUACAUAAAAAUAUUAGAAAACCAUUAUUUUAUUCAUGAAAAUUUGGAAAAAGAUGGAGUUCGUUGAUUUUCUUUGUCAUUGAAUAUACCGAUUUAAGCACGGUGCAUGACGAAUUUAGAGAUAUACGGUUUUUCCUGUUAGCAUAUUGAUGUUUGUGGAUUUAAUGGUAUUAAAAUGUCAAAAUUAAAAAAAAAAUGGAGUUAGUGGAUUUUCCCAGUGCGUCCACGGUAUAUGCACUUUUACCCAUAAACUUGAUUAUCUGACGAUGGCUGUCAAUAGGUGAAAUCCAUUAUGCAUUUAAAAACGUAUAACAGCAUAAAUUUCACAUUGUAGGUAACAGCGAUCGGAACCUCCAUCUUCGAAGGCUACUAGCCCGACACUGACCAAUGCAGCGGGGCGAAACUGGGGGGAAAGAGAGAGAGAGGGAGAGUUGAUUUGGAAGGCAGUGUUGCCACAUUUAUUCCAGCACGUAGCACUCUUCCUCAGCGGCAUAGUGAACUUUUUUUACGACUGAUCCUCGUGCUAUAUAUCUUUCUACACACUCCUUGUCGGACCACUUACUACCUUACUUAUCCAAAUGUCUCUUUUUUAUUUUCAUCAUUGAUAUUAGAAAAGGGAAAGAAAAAAUAAGAUUUAUUGAUAGUAUCCGAACUGAUAUUUUUUACAACCUUCUUUAUGGUAUCACUAGUUAGAGAUUGAAGUACUUAAAAAUAAUGAUAUAUCAUAAAAUAUUUUUAAAAUUUUACAAAAUAUCUAAUAGCUAAAAAUAUCUAAAAUGGUCUUUUUUUAAUGGAAACUCCCAAAUAUAUGUUCAUAUAAUAAUUGGACAUCAAUAACAAGUUAAGUCAAAUACAAAUUGACCGAGACCCGAAAAAAUGACCUAUUUGCCAUAAUCAAAAACGUCUCAAUGUCGGAUAAGCCAAGCGCCUGGAUCAUGACUAGACCUCACAGCGUAUCCUCAUAUAGAUAGUAUUUUUGUUUAUUGCGAGAAUAGUGUACAAAAACGGUAUUUUUAAAAAAACGUUUUUACAUUCCGAAACGUUUUUAUAUUUUACAGUUAGUGCAGUUAUAAAAACUUAUACCCUACCCUACCAUAACAUUAUACUCUGGCUGUACGAAAAUUUAUACAGGGUGUUUGGUAAAGAAUGGACCAUAGCUUAACCUUAGAUUCCUGAGCUUAAAAUAGGACGAUUUAAGCUAACUUGCCUUAGUACAAAAGUUGAUAAUAACCGAAAUACAGGGUGUCAAAGUUAAACUUGUAUUUUAUUUAUUUUUGAAUAUUUCCUGACAGGCAUGGGACAACAACACGAAAUUUGGUAAGUGGUGCUGGUACUGUCCACCCUACUAAAUUAUGUUAAACAAACGUUUCUGGCUACUACCAGAGGCGUACGACGGGGGAAUUGUGAAUGGUUGACCCUUCCCAAAUUCUACGCCACUGGCGGAAUUGCUAUUUUAGUGCAAUUUUUUGAUUCUCCAAUACUUUCUAUGUAAAUAACAUACUCUUCAUUUGUAACGAUAAAGCCAUUAGUUUUCGAGAUAUUUGAAGCUAAAAACGAAGGAGCAUAAUACAUUAAUCAAAAUAAGUGUCCCUUUUCAUUUUUAACUUCAACUAUUUCGAAAACUAAUGAUUUUAUCGUUACGAAUGAAGAGUAUAGUAUUUGCAUAGAAAGUA
rnacentral:misc_RNA from 1 species